rnacentral:tRNA from 1 species
GGGAACAUAGCUCAGUGGUAGAGCACAUGCCUAACAUGCAUAAGGCUCUAGGCUCAAUCCCAGUACAGCUA